UAGAAGAAAAAAAAAAGAAAAAAAAAAAAAGAAAAAAAAAACAGCCCAAGCUCAGUGAUCAUGGUUAACAUGUGAGAUGGAACAAAGGAAGUCUGUGGCCUUCUUGCUGCAUUGGUUUUGCUUGCAUCUCUGUGUAAAGAAACUGCCUCAUAGCAGGUAUAUCAAAAGGAAAAAACGGUGGUUUCAGUUCUUUAUGUCUCAUACUCCAGUCUCUGGAGUUCUUCUGUAGGCUGUAUGUUGUUAAUGCUAAUUGUGAUAGGGGUUUUUACCUCUGACUGACUCCUACAUGUUAGCAUUAACACUGUAUCAUGCCUCUUACCAGAAUUCACAUGGAACAAAGUGCUGCUGUGGGAGGAGAACAGAAAUCAUGAAUCAGUCACUACCACACCGAGAAAACCUCCACUCUACUUGUAAAAAGACAAGUUGUUCUGCAUACAGACAUGCUUGCUAGACUGUUUGCUAGGUUUAAAGGCACUGGAAAAAGUAGGGAAAAAAAGCAUCUUUGUGUAUCAAUAAAUCCUUCGUAGGAUGUAGAAUGUGUAAUAUUCUGAGCUCAGCAACCGGUUUUUAUUUUGUUUUACUGCUUUUCAGGUUUUCUGUUUUUAUUUCCAACACAAAUAUUUCAUUAUUUCAUUUUAUUUAGGAAAGAAAUUCGAUAAAUUAAACUUUUGGCAU